CCUACGGGAGGCAGCAGUGAGGAAUAUUGGUCAAUGGACGAGAGUCUGAACCAGCCAAGUAGCGUGAAGGAUGACUGCCCUAUGGGUUGUAAACUUCUUUUAUAAAGGAAUAAAACGAGGCACGUGUGCCUUUUUGCAUGUACUUUAUGAAUAAGGAUCGGCUAACUCCGUGCCAGCAGCCGCGGUAAUACGGAGGAUCCGAGCGUUAUCCGGAUUUGUUGGGUUUAAAGGGAGCGUAGAUGGGUUGUUAAGUAAGUUGUGAAAGUUUGCGGCUCAACCGUAAAAUUGCAAUUGAUACUGGCAGUCUUGAGUACAGUUGAGGUAAGCGGAAUUCGUGGUGUAGCGGUGAAAUGCUUAGAUAUCACGAAGAACCCCGAUUGCGAAGGCAGCUUACUAAACUGUGACUGACAUUGAUGCUCGAAAGUGUGGGUAUCAAACAGGAUUAGAUACCCGUGUAGUC
rnacentral:rRNA from 1 species